rnacentral:lncRNA from 1 species
AAGGUUUUAACGAGGCAGUCAAUUAAGAUAUUUAUGUAAAAGAUAUGUACUCUUUUUUCCUUCGUUAAGUUUUUCCCACUGGGUUUUCUUAACAAGGUUUUUAAUGAGACAUAAUCUUCUAUAGUAGGGAAUCAGGGGAAGUAUUGUAAAGUGAUUGAUUCCCUCAAUUAUGAGGGAACACUUACUCUUUUGCUUUCUUUCCUCUCCCCUUUAUCCCUUUAUUCCCUCUCCAUGUUCCCUCAUUUAUUGUCCUCAUCCUCCUUUCCUUG